GGAUCAUUAUUGAAUAAACCAUGGCGGGCUGUCUUGCUGGCCUCCCCUCCAAGGGAGGCAUGUGCACGCCCGUCAAACGUUUCAUUCACCCUUCUCCACCUGUGCACACACUGUAGGGAUCCUGGAAGAGUCUUCGUCUUCCUUGCCUCGUCACAGGCUCUUGGCAUAGUCCUUGAGUCGGGCGGGUGAGUUUGAUGGGGGCUCCUCCUUCCGGACCCUACGUUUCAUUACCUACCCCAACUACGAAUGUGAUACGAAUGUAACUAUCUAGGCCACCGUGCCUAAUAAACACAAUACAACUUUCAACAACGGAUCUCUUGGCUCUCGCAUCGAUGAAGAACGCAGCGAAAUGCGAUAAGUAAUGUGAAUUGCAGAAUUCAGUGAAUCAUCGAAUCUUUGAACGCACCUUGCGCCCCUUGGUAUUCCGAGGAGCAUGCCUGUUUGAGUGUCAUAAAUCUCUCAACCUUCCCUUCUGGUUUUUCCUGGUAGGGAUGGGUUGGAUCUUGGGGGGUUUCUUGUCGGCUCCAUUGCGGGUCCGACUCCCCUGAAAAGCAUUAGCAGUCGCGCUGUCUGCCACCGGUGUGAUAGUAAUCUAUGCCGUCUGGUCCAGUGUACGCGCUUGUCUGCUCCGAACAGUCCGAACACUCUCGGACAACAGUAAAAAUGACCACUUGACCUCAAAUCA
rnacentral:rRNA from 1 species